rnacentral:tRNA from 1 species
AGUAGUGUGGCCUAGUGGAUAAAGCAUAGGGCUGGAAGUCAGAAGGACCUGGGUUCUAAUCCCAGCUCUGCCA